CCCUUAGAUGUUCUGGGCUGCACGCGCGCGACAAUGACGUUUGCAACGAGAUUGCGAGGCCGUCAGGUCGAGCUGAUCUUGCAAGCUGCGUCGUGAUAGGGACAGUCGAUUGCAAUUAUUCGACUCGAACGAGGAAUUCCUUGUAAUCGCGCAUCAUCAGUGCGCGCUGAAUACGUCCCUGCCCUUUGUACACACCGCCCGUCGCUACUACCGAUUGAAUGGUUUAGUGAGGCCUUCGGAUCCGCGACUCGUUUGUGGAGAAGUUGGACAAACUCAGUCAUUUAGAGGAAGUAAAAGUCGUAACA
rnacentral:rRNA from 1 species